GCCGGGUGCAGUGGCGCAUGCCUGUAGUCUAGCUACUCGGGAGGCUGAGGUGGGAGGAUCGCUUGAGCCCAGGAGUUCUGGGCUGUAGUGUGCUAUGCUGAUCAGGUGUCUGCACUAAGUCUGGCAUCAAUAUGGUGACCUCCCAGGAGCAGGGGACCACCAGGUUGCCUAAAGAGGGGUGAACUGGCCAAGGUCGGAAAUGGAACAGGUCAGAAAUCCCAUGCUGAUCAGUAGUGGGAUCAUGCCUGUGAAUAGCCAUUGCACUUCAGCCUGGGCAACAUGGCGAGAUCCUUUUUCUA
ensembl:misc_RNA Metazoa_SRP Metazoan signal recognition particle RNA